GGGAAUGUGGCUUAGUGGUAUAGUGCUUGCCUACCAUGUAUGAAGCCCUGGGUUCAAUUCCUCAGUACCA
rnacentral:tRNA from 1 species